GAUUGGCUUUCAGAUUGUUCCAUCUCUCUGCCACCUGGAUUUGCUUUUGGUGAUCUGGAAGUCUGGGUUUGCAUCUUGUUUAGUUGUCUUCUCAUUUCUAUUUUGUUGUUGUUGUUGUUGUUGUUGUUUGGUUUAAUUCCUGGAUUGAUGCUUGCAUAUUAUUUACUGCAAGUAUCUUUAUUGGCAGUAUUUAGAGCCCAUAGGGAAUGACUACUUCUCAGAGUUGCCUUCCUGGUCUUUGGGUUUUGAGUCUAUAAUGACCCUUAGGCAAUCUCAGUCUCAGUGUACAACUGACUAGACCCAUCACAUCACCUUGGCCAAAGUAAUACAAUCAGCAUCAACAAUAGCAUCAAACACGGCUUAGAAAAUGACGAAUUGUGGUAAGCAUUUAUCUUUCUCCCUCUACUGCAUGAACUAGUCUUGAGGUUAUAUAUCAAAGUCUAGGAUCACCUGGAAAUAUAUUUGCAGUAAAUAAACCCUUCAGUAUAGUGAAUUUACCUUUUGGGAAGAAGACUUAGAAGAAGUUGGAGGGAAUAGAGAACUAGAAGGAGAGGGAAAGGUUAGAAGUAGGACUAGAGGACACAGAAAGAUCAUGUAAACUUUGGGAAACUGGUGAAGAUAGGAGGAAAAGAGAGAAAGAAGGAACAAAAGCAAGAACAAAACGAACAGCAACAGGGGAACUAGAAACUGCAUUUAACCCCUUAUAGAAAAAAGAACAAUCAAGAAAAAACAAAACUGGAAAAACGGGGACAAGCAAGGAUAGAACUGAAGAAGAGGAAUGAAGGAGGAGAAAAGCAAAGAGAAAAAGAAAGAAAAAAAGAAGUCCCCUUCAAGGCAUGUCUCUGCUGUCACUGGUAGACAAUGUGGGCAGUAGUGCGCAGAUCUGAGUCACUUAUUCUUAGCAAGCCAGCUGUAGUCCACUGAGAUUCAGGCUGGUUUCUGGUUGUGAAGCCAGAGUGAGCUUCCUGACCUCCUGUGGGCUUGAACCCUAUACAAUUCUGCUGCAGGUACUGGCCAUUUCUCCCCCACAGCAAGUCUGUGUUCUGAUAGGAGGUGUUGAUCCCAACCACUCACCAACCACUGGAGCCCACUGGGUCUUUACUGCAGUGGCUAUCUUCCCUCUCCCAGUGGGCUUCACUUCUCACAACAAGCCUGGGAGAGGCCCUCUCUCUGCUGCUCACCACUCUACUAUCUUCCUCAGGUUAGAAUAAUGGUCUUUCUGCUCUCUGCUGUUGUCUAGAUCUGGCUGUCAUUGCUCUUGCUGUCAUCCCACUGCUGAUGGAAGGCAGACAAGCAGUCACAGUUGCUGAAGAAUGGCACACAGGUUAAUCCUUCAUGAAGCAGUUACCGUGGGAGCAUACUUGAAAACAGUUCCUGUACAGCCAUUGAGUACUAAGGAUAAUAGGAUGUCAUGCAACACAUUGAGGCCUUGACUAACUAUACUCAGCAGGCCUUAACUGACACCUCAGUUGGACUCUUUCUCCUAAAUAAAGAAGUAAAACAAGCUGUCCUCUAAAAUCAGAUGGCAUCACUCAUCCCAACAGCAGCACAAGACUUAAAGCUAUCCACAUGCCCACAUCAAGAAUGCCUGAAACCUAUCAAUGGCCUUUACAUAUAGACCUUCUGGAGAGAGGGUACCCUGGAGAGAGUCUGGACAAAGGUGAAACACAUCACAACUGUGGCCAGAGACACAUCUGCAGGAGGCCAGUCCUCAAGUUAAACACAAGAUGACCAGGCCUGCUCACUUCUUAAAAAGCCUAAUGAAGUCUAGAUAGACAUCAGUCACCCACAUGGGUGACCAGAGACCUGUGGACCCAUUACUUCCUAGAAGAAGUCUUUGUUCUUUCCAUCCACACUUGUUAUGUGACUUAUUUUCCAAUUGGAUCACUGUUACCUAAGUGACUAUACUUGUAAUCUUAUUGGGUGAUCAUAGCUGUAACCCACAUUGUACCCACAUGGGUUUUGCUCUAUAAAACUUCCCUAUAAAGCGAGGCCCCUGAGCUACCCAUUCAGGACCCCUCCUGCCUCUCAGGAGCCAUCCUCUCAAUAAAUAUCUUCCUACUCUUAGCCUCUGUUGUUCAUAAAAUUCAUUCUUCAAUUUUUAGAGAACAUGAGCUUGGUGUGUCAGACAUCUAACAGGUUGGGAGAUAUAAUAUUUUGAUAUUUCAUCUCCUAUAUCAAUAAGGCAUUACUUCUGGGCUCUUUGAGGGCUUUUCUGAAAGAGCUCAGCAUCAAAUUAGCGGGCUGAGUAAAAAGGACCCACUCUCUUCCAGUGUGAGCAGACACCAUGCACCUGCCUGAGGGCUGCUAGGACAAAAUUGCAAAUGACAAAUGCGUUUGUGAGGCCUUCUCCUGACCUGUCCUCUGGACCUGGGACCUCCCUCUUUUCCUGCCCUUGGACAUCAGAACUCCAGGGUCUCAGGCAGGAGAGACCAGGACUUGUGCUUGUGGCUCCCCAUGUGUUCAGGCCUUCAGCUUCUAACUGAAAGUUACACUGUGAGCUCCCCUGCUUCUCCAGCCUCAGCCAGCCAUGAAACCAGCUUCCCUGCUUCUCUGGCUUGCAAAGGGCGUAUGGUGGGACUUGUCAGCCUCUGUAACCACAAGAGCCAAUUUCCCUAAUGA